ACUCAAAGGAAUAGACGGGGACCCGCACAAGCGGUGGAGCAUGUUCUUUAAUUCGACGAUAACCGAAGAACCUUACCUGGACUUGACAUCCUGCGAAGGUCUCCGAAAGGAGAUUGUGCCUUCGGGAACGCAGUGACAGGUGCUGCAUGGCCGUCGUCAGCUCGUGUCGUGAGAUGUUGGGUUAAGUCCCGCAACGAGCGCAACCCUUAUGGUUAGUUGUAUUUUUCUAGCCAGACUGCCCCGGUAACGGGGAGGAAGGAGGGGAUGAUGUCAGGUCUUUAUUGCCCUUACGUCCAGGGCUAGAAACGUGCUACAAUGGCCGGUACAAUGGGCAGCCAACCCGCGAGGGGGAGCAAAUCUCAUCAAAGCCGGUCUCAGUUCGGAUUGCAGGCUGAAACUCGCCUGCAUGAAGUCGGAAUCGCUAGUAAUCGUGGAUCAGCAUGUCACGGUGAAUACGUUCCCGGGUCUUGUACACACCGCCCGU
rnacentral:rRNA from 1 species